CCUCAUUUCCAUUCGCCUCGCCCUCCGCGUUCACCGAUCUACUCCGAGGCACGCUAUUCGCCCUCCCCUUGCCAUCGUGCACUCCGUUGCCUGCUCCUGCGGGGAACUUCGACUCCCUUUCGCUCCCAGAGUUCUUCGCCGCAGCAGGUUCUUCUCCUUCAGCCAACUCCCGCAGGAAUGCAUCCACUUGAGGAUUCGGAUAUAUCCGCUUCGCCAUGUUCAAAAACUUCAAUGCGCGAGCUUUCUCGCCCGACUUCAUUGCACUCUCACCCAUCCGCAUGCAUCGCAAACCCUCGUCCUUAUUCCCCUUACCCUCGUCCUUAUUCCCCUUGCCAACGUGCACUCCGUUGCCUGCCCCUGCGGAGAAUUUGGACUCCCUUUCGCUCGCAGAGUUCUUCGCAGCAGCAGGUUCUUCUUCUUCCUCCAACUCCCGCAGGUAUGCGUCCACUUGAGGAUUCGGAUAUAUCCGCUUCGCCAUAUUUAAAAACUUCAAUGCGCGAGCUUUGUUGCCCGACUUCAUUGCACUCUCACCCAUCCUCAUGCAUCGCAAACCCUCG
rnacentral:lncRNA from 1 species